AUCACCGGUGAAACAGGGCCCAGGACCCUGAUACAUUUUCUGUAAACCAUGCACAUUGCACAUGUCUGGUGUAUUUGUAGUUAGUGUAAGAAUCACUAUAUCAUUUGAAUUGCUACAAACAUGUUUUUCAGUUUCUGGUAAUGAAAACCUAAACACUUGUGAAUUUGUGAUAGAUCAGGCAACAGCCAGACAGCAUAAGAGAUGCCAGAGGGCAAUGGCAAUGGACCUUUACCAGGUCCAAGCCUUGAGGAGCUACUGGAGAACAACCUUCCAGGUAUAUUCGCACAACAGCCCACUGGUCUGGGAGAUGAAGCCCAAUGGGGUGGAGCCAUUGCCAACUUGGAAGUCGCCGGGCGACAGCUGCUGUAUGCCGAGCCGGCCCCUGCACAGACGACCCUGCUGGUGUCCCGCGAUGAUCUGACGUUCCGGGAGACUCCUGUGGAGGGCGGCACGGUCGCCGAAGGCCUCGUCGUGCCCCCGGCGCCGGCCGAGUUCUGCCGAUUUGAUGACAUUUCGUUCCUGGAUGCCCUCGGCGGCGGCGAUGGCUGCAGCGGCGAUAUUCUAGAUCCAGAUGAGUACCUAACAGUGGCUCCGGGACUGAGCGGCGGGCUAGAGGACCCCCCUCCGCCGGCGGUCGGGCCGGCCGGGGACGCGGCGACUCCUGAGGAUGACCUGCUCACCCCUCUGACCUCUGGUGACCUCUCGCGGCCUGCCGACGUGAUAGGAGCAGACCGAGAUACCUCUCCACCGGACGCGGACGAUGAGGGAAUGGAUCAAGUUCUCGAGGUGGCGGAGCCGGUGUGGCCCGUUCUGGAGACUGACACCGCUCCCCCGCCGAGGGCCGAGCUGGGAUGGGCGCGCCGGGUCGACCCGAACGAGACGCCGCCCGACGGCGUGCCCGACCCGGACGUCAGGACGUUCGAGUUCGAGCUCGACACGUUUCAGAAACAGGCUAUAGGACUGAUUGAGCGCGGUGAGAACGUGCUCGUGGUGGCUCACACGUCCGCCGGUAAAACGGCCAUCGCCGAGUACGCCAUCGCCCGUGCUCUCGCCGAUGGCGAUAGAGUGAUCUACACCUCUCCGGUGAAGGCGCUCUCCAACCAGAAGUUUUGCGAGCUGCGCAGUCAGUUCAGCUCGGUCGGCAUUCUGACGGGCGAUACGCAGCUGAACGAGGACGCGCCCUGCCUCAUCUGCACGACAGAGAUCUUGCGCUCGAUGCUCUACAACCGGCCGUGGUUGACGGAGCGACUGCGCACUGUCGUCUUGGACGAGGUGCACUAUAUCGACCAGGUGGACAGGGGUCACAUCUGGGAAGAGUGCCUGAUCCUGCUGCCGCCGACCGUCAGUCUUCUGAUGCUGUCGGCCACAGUGCCUAACGCCAUCGACCUAGCCGCCUGGGUCGGAGGCAUUAAGUCACGGCCUGUGUUCGUAGUCAGCUGCCCGAACCGACCGGUACCGCUAGAACACCAGCUUUACACCGGGCCCGCUCAGGAGCUGCGGGAUGCCGAUAUGCAGCCAAUGCGCAUCUUCACUGUGCUCGACCAUAACGGCAUCUUUUCGAACGACAACUACCAACUGGCCUUUGAAUCGACCAGGCACCGACGGUUAAGCAGAAGCAACUCUGUAGCACCCGUUACCGCCGCCGUCGACAACCGUGGCAGACCAUAUCACGGAAACGCUAACCAGAAGGCCAAACCCAGGCUGCAGCAGCAGCGGAGCCACGGCGGCGGCGGCGGCGGCGGCAGGGGUGGGUCGGGGCGCCGUCAACGUCCACCUUCCCCGACACAAGAGGACUGGGGCGACCUGGUGCGUCACAUGGAGAGUUCCGCCCUGCUGCCGGCCAUAGUGUUUGUCUCGUCCCGGCGGCGCUGCGACUCGACGGUGGCUGUGCUGGGACACCUGGACCUCACCAGUGAUGAGGAGAAACAGAGGAUUCGCGCUCGUCUGAGGAUGCUGGAAACGCACCUGGACUCGGGCGAUCGUCACCUCAACUCGGUCAAGUCGAUGCGGGAGUUUCUACUGAGAGGUCUAGGAGUGCACCAUGCUGGUAUGCUGCCCUUCCUCAAAGAAACAGUGGAGCUGCUCUUCCAAGAUGGAUUGGUGAAGGUCCUGUUCGCCACGGAGACGCUUUCAAUCGGCAUCAACAUGCCCACACGGACGGUGGUGUUUGACUCGCUGAUCAAAUUUGACGGGUCGUCUGAGCGCUAUCUGCUGCCCAGCGAGUACAUUCAGAUGUCGGGUCGGGCGGGCCGACGCGGCAAGGAUCAAAGUGGUACAGUGAUCAUCAUGGCUGUGCCUCGCUGCCCGGACAGGGCGAAACUGCAUACUGUCGUCUCAACGCCGCCCGACCCCAUUCGGUCCCAGUUUCGGCUCACGUUCUUUAUGCUACUCAACAUGCUGAGCACGGGCCGCGGCGCCGCCAGCGUCGUCUGGAACAGUUUCGCGCUGUGGGGCCGCAGCAGUCCAUCUGAAGUUCAGGCGCAGCUGGAGAGACUACGGAACGAGGAGGUCGGCGCCCGACUAAGCGCGACCGACGCCGCCGACUUGCGCAGUCAGUGUGAGGAGCUGGUGGCACUGGUGCAGGAGGAAAGGAGGGAGCACGCGAAGAAGUUGUGUGAGGGCGGUAAUCCGGCUCGGGGGAAGGUAGCGGUGAUAAGCUCCGAUAAAAUCGAGCGUCGACUCGCUAUUGUCAUGAAGUCCUCUCAGGUGGACCGCAAUCAGCUGGAGUGCACUCAGCACACAGUGCUGACGCUCAGCGCGCCUCGCGACCCCCCGCCGCCCGCUGAGCCGACUCGCGAGCCGGACAGGGAGCUGGCCCGCCGCGCCGCCGCCGCCUUGCGGCCGCCGCUGCUGCGCCCCGAGGUCUCGGCUGGCCGGGUGGCGGCGCAUGAAGAAAUGACGGUCGGCUGGGCGGACGUGGAGUUCUACCUGGCUGAGAGCGUGACAGCGCCUCUCUCCGUGCUGGACGACGUUCGUGAGCGAACAAUGGCUCGGUUCGCCGACCGAGAGCCGUGGUCGGCGUGCGCCGCCGCCGUCAGCCGGCUGGUGGAGCUCUCUGAGGGACCCGUGGCACCGCCACCGGAGUCGCAGCAGCUGACGGAGCUUCGUCAGCAGCUGGAGGGCCGGUACCGUGGCGUGGAGCGGGUGGAGCUCGUCCACACGCUGGAGGCCGCGCUCGCUGCUGACCGGCUGUACGCGCAGCAAAAGGAACUGGAUGACUGGAACGUUGAAACCUCGGCGAUGAUGCAGGUCCUCAAGGAGCUCGGUUACGUGGACAGCAGCGGCCGAGUGACCGGCAAGGGUAAGGCGGCCUGCGGAGUAGGCUACCGUCAACUUCUGGUCACCGAGCUGGUCUGUAACAACGCUCUGGACGGCCUGACGUCGCCUCAGCUGGCCGCUCUUCUGUCUGCCGUGUCACACGUGCUGGUAGUGGUUACGAAGGAGCCGGGAAGGCAGGAGCCAGACACCGCGCGUCUGCCAGCCGCACUCAGAGAGGGCGUUGUCCGGAUGCUGAAGAUCGCUCGUCACAUUGACAAAGUGCAGGAGAGGAACGGACUACAGACUCGCACAGACGAGGAGAUGUCGCUGCAGUUUGAGUUGAUCGAGGCCGUUCUCGACUGGGCUAGCGGAAUGGAGCUGCGUAACGUCCGAUUGCCGCGGGAGAGCGACCAGGGGAACCUGUGCCGCACGCUGCAGCGUCUGGACGAGACGCUGCGUGACGUGCGCGACCUUGCCGUGACGCUGCGCCUCCCCCGACUGCAGUCGACCGUGCGCGACGCUCUGGUGGCGAUCCGCCGGGGUCUACCGUUCAACCCCAGCAUCUACACAAUGUGAACGGGGAGUGAACCGGCCACACAAGACAGCUGACACUGCGCGGUUUGAACUGACGGCCCUCUAUACCCUACUCUCCCUCUGUUACGAUAGACAGGACACUGCCUAAGUUGGUGGUUAUCACAGAGAGUUGUUCCUGAAUCGUCGUCUACAGGCAGUAGGCGGACCCGGUUUGAAUUGUACAGCUACCGCAAUAAUCAACUGGCGCAUGGUCCAAUUAACAGCACGAACGGCAUCAACACCUCACUUGUAAAGUGAAGGACAGAUAUGCCGUACAAACGGUGUAAGUCAUAUAAUGAAUACGAAUUAGAGACUAACUAAGCCCAGACAAGCUCUAACUGGUAAAGAACAUAUUUGAAGUGUAUAGGAAUUAAAAAAGAAGAAUAUUAAGAAUUCUAGCUCUUAUGCUUUCUAAAUUAAAAUUGCGGAUCCAAAAGAAAACUUCGACAAGCUUUCGGCAAUGCGCGAUCAUUAGCUCCGAUUGUCCUCAAUGUCCUCCUUUUUCGUAUGUUUUAGCAAUGUCUCCAACUAGCGUUAAAACAUUUAUUACUGUAUGUAGGAACUUUCAAAUUAUUUUUUACUCGGCCAAUUUGCUGUCUUUUCAGGCUUAUUUCGCUCAUAUACUCGUUUUACACCGAGUACACACUUCAGACUUGCUUUUCAACUCGAACAAGAUCACAUUACGCUGCUGUUUGCCUUGCGACGUGUCGGAAAAUCGGCUUCCAAAACAUCUCACAAAUUCACGGCACGAAAGGAACAGUGUGGCAGCUCAUGCCGCCUUGACAGUGGUACAGCGUUUGCUUGGGACAGUAUGUCAGUUAUGUACUGCCAACGGUCAUAUCGUCUGUUAUCCAGCUAGUAAGGGUUUGGAUGUUACCAGGCUGUUCGGAGGUGAUUGAGCUUUGUUGCACACGAUAGCUUCGUUUUCGGAAAUGUCAUUUCAUUGUACAAUUUAAGCAUGCUUGGAAGGGAUGAAGCAAGGAGAUUAAAUUUGAUCGAAACGAUUGACUGUGGUUAUUCAACGGAGCAUAACACUAGAAAUGUGCUGGACUGUGAGUUGAUGACUACCAGCCGCAUAGCUGGAUGUAAUUUCUAUCCCGUGAUUUGAAAUUUGGAAGAAAAAUACUAUCGCAACGCUGAGAUUGAUAAAUGAUGGUUAUUGCCUUCAUGUACGUGAAACGCAUUGACUUCUAUCACUCCUUUCAUGUGAUCUGAAUCAUUUUAUCUGGAGAUGAGAGUCUUAUUUGUGAUUCAUUUUCUUGAGUUACUGGACGCGUGUAAUGUGAUAGGAAAUGGGCUGUGGAAGAGACCUAUUUACGCUGUAGAAAGAGCUAUUACUCCGCCGUUGGCUGUGGAACGGUAAUUGCUGUGCUUUUGUCAUCUCUGGGAAGAUAAUUGCUGGGAUCGGUAUUGUGCUAGGUGUGAUAUUGCGUAUUUUGUUCUAACUCUUUCAGAAUCAUAGAAGCCUUGUUGAUCGUAAUACGAAUUGUUUGUCUUAUGAAACCUUUAUUUGCGACCAAUUACCCUAUAUGGGUAAUUUUCUGGACGCAUCAAGUACCGGGUGAUACCACCGAUACAUCGAGCUUUACAUUGUCAUGUAUUGGUGUUGAUAGUACAAUACUUGAUGCAGGUUGGACCAAUGUGGCCAGACCGGGACGUAACUCGCGUGUGUUGUCCUGGGUUGAUUCGACGUGUCCGCUUCUGUAAUAAAACAAAAGGCAAA
rnacentral:misc_RNA from 1 species